rnacentral:rRNA from 1 species
GACGUAGGGUGCGAGCGUUGUCCGGAUUUAUUGGGCGUAAAGAGCUCGUAGGCGGCUCGUCGCGUCGACCGUGAAAACCCGCGGCUUAACCGCGGGCUUGCGGUUGAUACGGGCGGGCUAGAGUUCGGUAGGGGAGACUGGAAUUCCUGGUGUAGCGGUGAAAUGCGCAGAUAUCAGGAGGAACACCGGUGGCGAAGGCGGUUCUCUGGGCCUUACCUGACACUGAGGAGCGAAAGCGUGGGGAGCGAACAGG